CACACCCUCUUGGGAGGGUCACUAAACAGCAUAAAUUCUUAGACUGUCUCAUGAAAGUGAGUGAGCUGACCAACCACCAGUUCUAUGAAAAUGUAUCUAUUGAGGAGUUUAAUUUUGACUUUUAAGAGUGGAUAUACCCAUCGAGACUAAAGCUGAAGGCUAGAAGGGCCCACCAGAUCAUGUAGUCUGACCUCCUGUAUACCACAGGCUACCAGUUAGCACCUGCUCACUAAACCCAACCACUGAAAUAAGACUAACAUAUCAUAGCCAACAGGAGACUCAACUGUUCCGUGUGACUCAUUUGCUCUAGAAGUCAGAAGGUUGCAGAGAACAAGGAAGGAGGUGCAGUAGGAAGAGAACGGAUGCUUUUGUGGCUGGUGCAUAGGAUUCAGUUCUAUCUCGGCCUCUACCACAGUCUUCCACUGUGAUGCUGAGCAAGUAAUUUAUCCCAAAACAUUGUCAAAUGACCACUAAUUGUUCCUUAUUUUUCUGGGAGCCUGACUGAAGACACCUGGGGGCUUGAUGUGGUGAAAAGCCAAACCAUCAGAACUGCAACUGAAGACAAUGAGAGCUGUGGAUGCUCAGAACCUCUGCAAUAAGACGGUGCAGUCAGGAGAAAUGCACAUUAUGUUGGGAAAAACCUUUUUGAAGCUGCAUAAGCCUAUCAAAGCGCAUUGUGCUGGGAAGGGUGUUGAACUGAGGUGAAACCAGAGAACUGGGGUGCACUGCUUUCUUGGAACCCGUGGAUCAAUGUGCAUUGUGGGACAUAAAUUGCUAGCCUGCACUGGAAAAGAGCGAGGCUUGUAGAGCCCGAGCGGAGUGCUCGUGUUGCCCAACAGUUGAUAAUUGUAAUGUGGUUUCCCCUGGUGGGCACACACAGGGCUGGCUCCAGGC